CGCCCCGUCCGUCUGUGAACCCUAGCCCCGCGCUCGCACGCUCCCUGUCGCGCCGCCGCCCCCGCCUCUGCUCGCCGUCGUGCCAUCGGGCCAUUUCCUCCUUCCCCGAGGACGGGGAGCCGGAGCUGCCCCCGCGCGUCGUCGAUCAUCUCCUCGCUGGCUGGACACCGUCGACCACGAAGCCGGUCUUCUCUAAGCGCGCGCCGCCGUAUGGGUCGCCAAGAUGCCGAGGCCGAGGCGGAGCUCCAGGACAUCGAGGCCGCGUACGCCGCUGAGUCCGCCAGGCGUCGCCACCUCCCCGACUGGUCCAAGACGCCAGCCCCCCGCUCCCGUCCGCCCACGGCCCAACCCAGUCCCCACGGCCGCGUGUGCCUCCUCGCCGUCGUGGGUGCUCUCUCCCCCACUUGCCAAGAACAUUCAAAUCACUGAAUGGAUGCAUAAAAAAGGGAAAAAUGCAGCAAGGAGGGAGAGGAUAUUUUUGCAUCUCAGGUCUGAAUGAGCUCAGGUUUCUUGGGGGUCCUAAUGAGUUUUCUGUCAAAAACUAGCUUAAAUGGCAGCAAGUUUUGAAUACAGUGUAUGUUUCUGUAGUUUCUUUAAUAAGAUCACUGAAUACAGGUUUUUAGGGUCCUUGGAAUUGAGGGGAUGGAUAUUACUAUAUGUGUCCUAGGUAUCUGCACAGUAGUUUUUGUUGCCUUCUUAGCUUGUUGGGUACCUAUUUUUUCUGUCAAUGAGUACCGAUUUGGCCUGAGGUUGUGUCCUUUCUCAAGGAAGGUUUUGUUCCUAUCCAGUACUAGGAGACGAAUUGGUUGCAGGGUAGCCAGAGUAGGUCUUUCUGCAUAUGCAUUUGACUAUUAGAUGUCCCAAGAUUGUUGGUUACUUCUUUUGGUCUUAUACUGAAUAUGUCUUUGGUCAGGACAACUUAGAACAGCUUGUGUGUGCCUCUCAGAUUCCUACAGAAGAAAGGAUACCUUUUCUUUUUUAUUGGAUGGACAACAACAUAACCACAACAAUAGAUCUAUCAGUUCUGCGCCGGUUGGACGGCGUUCAGGCGCAACCCCGGCACCCACUGAGUACUGCCUCUGCUACAACCUUCCUCGGUGAGCUCCAUCUUCCUCCCGCUCUGCUUCGGCUACUGUAUGGGGCGAAAUAAGGAUUCCAGUCACUCUCCCGCUUCCUCAGCGAUUUGGGCUUCCUGGCCGUUGGAUCAAAGCGCUUGAUGCGAUUUGAGCCGUCGGAUCGAGCCCUAGAAUGACCUCGUCCGUCGGAUAAAAAAUAGUUAUCGCUGCAAUGAACAGUUUCACCCCGUUCGUGCCACCGCGUGUAAAUAGUCUGCCCCGCCGGGGGCAUUUUUGUCAUUUCACUCGCACAUGGUAUAAAAGGCGCCGGCCCGCGUGGAGAUGACCUAGCCGCUCUCCAGCCCGCACUUGCGCCCCCUCCCUCGUCCUCGCCGCCCCGCCCGCAUCGCCCCGCCUGCUGGAUCAAAAAGAGACACUUAGCUGGCGCAGGGCUAUGAUGAUCGGUUAUGGCUGUUAUAAGCAUGCUCUCUAGCAAUCGAGGCACUUGUGGGUAUUAAGUUCGAUCUCCCCUUGUUUCUUUAAGCCAUUUUGAUCAUGUGCUUAUUUUAGUGGCUCUACCCUUGGAUGGUCAUUUUUGAUGAGUGAUAACCAGGGCAGUUUCCAUCGGGAGCAGUCUGUCCAGCACGUCCGCCUAGCGACGAGCCGACAACGCAGGUCUAGGGUGCACGAUUAUGGUCGGCUACAUAUGGGGAGACAAAGUCUUCCAUGAAUCCAAUAUUUUCAUGUAGACCAAGUCUUUCGCAGCCUUCUGAUUAUAUGCCAUGGGCCGUCCAAUGUGGCCCAGAUCGAAACGGACAAAUAGGUCCCAAGCCUGGACCACGAGGGCGGGAGUCGACGUGAUGCGAUGCCCCUUAGCCGGGACACCAUCAAAAUGUUUGCCACAUGGACGGGCAUUUUUCCCACCAAGCAGGUGAAGGAGGAUAUGUGCAAACUUUUCAUGGAUGUGCAGAGGAUGGAGUUCGACCGGGAGAUACGAA